CCUACGGGGGGCAGCAGUAGGGAAUCUUUCACAAUGGGCGAAAGCCUGAUGGAGCAACGCCGCGUGCAGGAUGAAGGCCUUCGGGUUGUAAACUGCUUUUAUAAGCGAGAAAUAUGAUGGUAACUUAUGAAUCCCGCUCGGCUACCUACGUGCCAGCAGCCGCGGUCAUACGUAGGAUCCGAGCAUUAUCCGGAGUGACUGGGUGUAAAGAGUUGCGUAGGUGGCAUAAUAAGUAGCUAGUGAAAUCUGGUGGCUCAACCAUUCAUACUAUUAGCUAAACUGUUAAGCUCGAGACCGUUAGGGGUAACUGGAAUUUCUAGUGUAGGAGUGAAAUCCGUAGAUAUUAGAAGGAACACCAAUAGCGUAGGCAGGUUGCUGGGACGGUUCUGACACUAAGGCACGAAAGCGUAGGGAGCAAACGGGAUUAGAUACCCCUGUAGUC
rnacentral:rRNA from 1 species